GAUGAAGAACGUAGCGAAAUGCGAUACUUGGUGUGAAUUGCAGAAUCCCGUGAACCAUCGAGUCUUUGAACGCAAGUUGCGCCCGAAGCCAUUAGGCCGAGGGCACGCCUGCCUGGGCGUCACACGUCGUUGCCCCCCCAUCUACUCCUUCGGGAUUGCGGGGGGCGGAUGAUGGCCUCCCGUGCGCCUCGUCGCGCGGUUGGCAUAAAUACCAAGUCCUCGGCGACGCACGCCACGACAAUCGGUGGUUGCGAAACCUCGGUUGCCCGUCGUGUGCGGUCGUCGCGCAUCGAGGGCUCGAAAAAAUUGCCGGGCUCCGGCUCGGCUUUCAACGCGACCCCAGGUCAGGCGGGGUUACCCGCUGAAUUUAAGCCUAUCAAUAAGCGGAGGA
rnacentral:misc_RNA from 1 species